UGGGGAAUUUUGGACAAUGGGCGCAAGCCUGAUCCAGCCAUGCCGCGUGCGGGAAGAAGGCCUUCGGGUUGUAAACCGCUUUUGGCAGGAACGAAACGGCGCGGGCUAAUACCCAGCGUUAAUGACGGUACCUGCAGAAUAAGCACCGGCUAACUACGUGCCAGCAGCCGCGGUAAUACGUAGGGUGCGAGCGUUAAUCGGAAUUACUGGGCGUAAAGCGCGCGUAGGUGGUCAAGGCAGUCAGCUGUGAAAGCCCCGGGCUUAACCUGGGAAUGGCAGUUGAGACUUCUUGACUGGAGUGUGAGCGAGGACCGUGGAAUUCCCGGUGUAGCAGUGAAAUGCGUAGAUAUCAGGAGGAACACCGGUGGCGAAAGCGCUCAUCUGGCCCGAUACUGACGCUGAGGCGCGAAAGCUAGGGGAGCAAACGGGAUUAGAUACCCCGGUAGUCCUAGCCGUAAACGGUGAGCACUAGGUGUUGGAGGCAUCGACCCCUCCAGUGCCGCAGCUAACGCAUUAAGUGCUCCGCCUGGGGAGUACGGCCGCAAGGUUG
rnacentral:rRNA from 1 species